GACGAACGCUGGCGGCGUGCUUAACACAUGCAAGUCGAACGGAAAGGCCCUGCUUUUGUGGGGUGCUCGAGUGGCGAACGGGUGAGUAACACGUGAGUAACCUGCCCUUGACUUUGGGAUAACUUCAGGAAACUGGGGCUAAUACCGGAUAUGAGCUCCUGCUGCAUGGUGGGGGUUGGAAAGUUUCGGCGGUUGGGGAUGGUCUCGCGGCUUAUCAGCUUGUUGGUGGGGUAGUGGCUUACCAAGGCUUUGACGGGUAGCCGGCCUGAGAGGGGGACCGGCCACAUUGGGACUGAGAGACGGCCCAGACUGCUACGGGAGGCAGCAGUGGGGAAUAUUGCACAAUGGGCGGAAGCCUGAUGCAGCAACGCCGCGUGCGGGAUGACGGCCUUCGGGUUGUAAACCGCUUUCGCCUGUGACGAAGCGUGAGUGACGGUAAUGGGUAAAGAAGCACCGGCUAACUACGUG
rnacentral:rRNA from 1 species